rnacentral:tRNA from 1 species
UCCCAUGUAGCUCGGUUGGUAGAGAAUGGCACUUGCAAUGCCAGGACUGGGGGUUCGAGUCCCACGGGGGAC